CCUACGGGGGGCAGCAGUGGGGAAUAUUGCACAAUGGGCGCAAGCCUGAUGCAGCCAUGCCGCGUGUGUGAAGAAGGCCUUCGGGUUGUAAAGCACUUUCAGCGGGGAGGAAGGCGGUGAGGUUAAUAACCUCAUCGAUUGACGUUACCCGCAGAAGAAGCACCGGCUAACUCCGUGCCAGCAGCCGCGGUAAUACGGAGGGUGCAAGCGUUAAUCGGAAUUACUGGGCGUAAAGCGCACGCAGGCGGUCUGUCAAGUCGGAUGUGAAAUCCCCGGGCUCAACCUAGGAACUGCAUUCGAAACUGGCAGGCUAGAGUCUUGUAGAGGGGGGUAGAAUUCCAGGUGUAGCGGUGAAAUGCGUAGAGAUCAGGAGGAAUACCGGUGGCGAAGGCGGCCCCCUGGACAAAGACUGACGCUCAGGUGCGAAAGCGUGGGGAGCAAACAGGAUUAGAUACCCGAGUAGUC
rnacentral:rRNA from 1 species